UUUUUUUUUUUUUAGUACAGAUGGUGUUUCACCAUGUUGGCCAGGGCCCUUUUCAGCCUUCCCUCAUAUUUUCUUGAGAUCAAACUUUACUUCUUUCUUAUUUACUAAGAAUUUGCCUGUUUGAAUAAGAACAAAACGCUAAGGUGGGUAGCCUAAGCUGAUUUUCUGCUGGUUACACGUGUCUCUCACACCACAUUUCCUCAAAGCUAAUCUGAAUUCUGUAGGCUAAAAAUAUUCAUGUAGCAAAUCUGAGAAUUGAAAACUGCAGAUAACCGGCCGGGUAUGGUGACUCAUGCCUGUAAUCCUAGCACUUUGGGAGGCCGAGGUGGGUGGACCACCUGAGGUUAGGACUUCAAGACCAGCCUGGCCAACAUGGUGAAACCCCAUCUGUACUAAAAAUACAAAAAUUUGCCUGGUGUGGUGGUGCAUGCCUCUAGUCCUAGCUACUCGGGAGGCUGAGGCACGAGAAUCACUUGAACCUGGGAGGCGGAGGUUGCAGUGAGUCGAGAUAACACUACUGCAUUCCAGCCUGGGUGACAGAGUGAGACUCCCCCUC
rnacentral:lncRNA from 10 species